rnacentral:rRNA from 1 species
GGGCCCGCACAAGCGGUGGAGCAUGUGGUUUAAUUCGAUGAUACGCGAGGAACCUUACCAGGGCUUAAAUGGGAGAUGACAGGGGCAGAGACGCCCUUUUCUUCGGACAUCUUUCAAGGUGCUGCAUGGUUGUCGUCAGCUCGUGCCGUGAGGUGUCAGGUUAAGUCCUAUAACGAGCGCAACCCCUAUCGUUAGUUGCCAGCGGGUCAUGCCGGGAACUCUAGCGAAACUGCCGGUGCAAACCGAGAGGAAGGUGGGGAUGACGUCAAAUCAUCACGGCCCUUACGUCCUGGGCCACACACGUGCUACAAUGGCCGGUACAGAGAGCAGCCACUACGCGAGUAGGAGCGAAUCUACAAAACCGGUCUCAGUUCGGAUCGCAGUCUGCAACUCGACUGCGUG